CACGUAGGGGGCGAGCGUUGUCCGGAAUUACUGGGCGUAAAGGGCGCGCAGGCUGUUAUGCGAGUCUGCUGUGAAAUGUACCGGCUCAACCGGUGCCUUGCGGCGGAUACUGCAUAGCUGGAGUACUGGAGAGGGAAGUGGAAUUCCCGGUGUAGCGGUGAAAUGCGCAGAUAUCGGGAGGAACACCGGUGGCGAAGGCGGCUUUCUGGCCAGUUACUGACGCUCAUGCGCGAAAGCUGGGGUAGCGAACCGGAUUAGAUACCCGGGUA
rnacentral:rRNA from 1 species